GGCCUGCCACGGCUCCCCGCGUUCCGGAGCAGCUUCAGGAAUCAUUUCCCGUAUGUAACCAGGCUGAACUGUUGGUAGAACACGCCUACAUUUUUCAUCAACGAAAUAAGCCAUACGACGAGGAGGAAAAACCCAAUGGAUCGGAUCUUGAGUGCACCGUGAUGGCUAAACAAAUAGCGCGAUAGAGAAUCGGGCAUUUCAAAGAAGAGGCAAGAGCCUCAUCCAUUACACUGACGAAAUUGACAUUCAACAGGAUAUCCGAUGUUGCAAUCUUUAAGAACAAGUUGCAGCAUCUGCGCGAUCUACGUUGCCUGCGUGACAACCGUCUAAUUGCUAUUCUUUCCUCCUUUUCAUUCUUCGCUGUCGUCAUUCGUGAGAGGCGAAACGAAUCAUCUGGGUUGAAAGUGGCUCUAUCGACGUUCCAGCACAUCCGCAAUAAUCUCAGUUGAGUGAGCAACCAUUCCAAUAAAAGACAAAUUGUCCUAUACAAAAGAGAUGUAACGAGCGAAGAGCGGAUUUUCGACGAACGUGUCUCUUCGUAUGGAAACUAUUAUUCUCUUUGACUCAUUUUCUGUUCCAUCGAUUUUUUUUUUAAAUUACAAAUCGAGUAAAAUAGGCACGGCUAAAAAUGUACGAAGAGAUAAAAUCACUUGGGUCUAUUAAUUGGAAAACAAUUGCGACAGUCGACACGAUUAUUAUGAAUUUCAUUCGGAUAAACAGAUUGACACAGACGGGACAUCAAAAGCCAAUCGGCGGUAGGACCAAGGCGAUGGUGUCCUGAUGUAGGGAUUGUUGUCAUUGAUUUUUGUUUUUAGCGACGGGCAAUUGUUACUACGACGAGAGGAACUUCACGCGUGAAGCAUCAUCGCCAAUGAAAUGAGAUGGCCGCCAAGAAGUUGUCAAGGAUAACCAGACCGACAAUCACUUUUCUAUCUCCUUGCUAUUCGGACCGACCUCGCCCUGUUUCGGACACGUGUAAUAAACUGUUACUGAAGAAUGAGGGAAGACAUCAACGAAGAAACCGAAAAGGUGGAGUCGUUCUAUGCCAAACUCUAUUGUGAUGCAUUCUGCCAGAGAGAAGUUGGACCAAACAUCAGAGGAUUUGCACUCAUAUUGUACUUGACCGUUUGCCAGUCGAGGAAAGAAAUCUUCCAUGACAAGAUUGUUUUCCCCAUAAUUUUUUAUGCCACUAUCUUCUGUUGGAAACACAUGAGAAGUGGUUUAAUGUCAACAGGAAAAAUGAUUAAUUUUAACUACUUGGUUGACGAUUAAUAAAGUUUUUUUUUUUUUUGCAAAGAAAGUGUGAUGAUUGUUACUGCCAAUCAGCGGAAACUGGUGAGCUGUUCAACUGGCUGUUAGCCACUCACCUUGAGUAUUUGAUCUCAUACAACGGAAAAGAAAUGCAGAAUGCUACAGUUUCCUCAGUAGGCCUACGGAUAUGAACAGUGUAGCAAGUCCAGGUCACCUAACCUGUAUGCCAUGAAAUCUCUAACAACUAGUUUACAUAGAUGAUUUGAACCACUUAUCCAAAGGGCAAUAAAAUUCGACAUGACUUUUUAAAAAGUAUGGAGGAGUUAACAGGGCCUGAUUCCUGAAACAGUGACGUGGGAUAAUACAUUUGCAGGUCAAUGGGUUACCUCUUACGCUUCCAAUUCCGGAUUGUGUUCCCGCAACAAGAUGGUUGAGCACGUUUCUCAGUGAUUUUGUUUUAUGUUACUUCAUAUCUGUUUUCAUAUUUGCUUUUAUUUGUAAAUGUGUGGAGUUAUUAGCAUUUAAGUUCUAGUAAAAAUUACAUAGAGAUGAGUGUUGAGGGGGUGGUGGAGGGUAGUAUGAUGUAAAUUUGAAAUUAAUUUGUUAGAUAGAUUGGGGUAGGUUGUGCUAAUCAAUCCUAACUUGCAUGGGGGUAAGUUUCGAAUAGGAAGUUGAGUCAACUUAGUAAAGUUCCUGACUUUUGUAGGCUAAAGGUGAGUUGGGGAAGGAGGAAUCUACCACAUGUUUGUUGUGUGCAAUAGGUAAAUGUGUGUAAGUAUCGCGAAAUUUAAUCAAA